UGAAGCUGCACGGAAACAUUUUGGAGAUGUGAAGAUAGUGUCUGCUUCCUGAAAGUACUGACUGGACAAAGAGAAGCUCUGACGUUAGAAAGAAAGAUCCUAAGAAACCUCCACACUGACUUUUAAACCUGCACCCUGCUGCCACUGCCUCUCUAAGUUGAUUAUUAGAUUGUUUUUCCACUUCACGAGGAGAUCAGAAACAUCAGAUAUGUGGUGUGAUUGGUUUUGCAUCGGAUCAUUCAAAGCUUAUUUAGUUGGACAACGUUUAAACCAAACCCUUGUGGCCACAAUCCAACGAGUCAAGAAGAGCUGUGCUACUUUCACUUCAACAACAGCCAGACCACUGUGCGUGUUUCCAUAUGCAUCUCACAAUAUUCACUGAAUGUGGACCAACUUAUUUAACGUUUACUCGAUGUUAACACUCUGUCAACUUCACUGUAAUGGUGUCAAAGAAGUCUUUCGUCUGGCUGUAUGUUGUUAAAUUGGAUGAUCAAUAAAGUGACUUGUCUGCAUUAAGAUGCUUUGUCAA